rnacentral:rRNA from 1 species
ACAACGGAGAGUUUGAUCCUGGCUCAGGAUGAACGCUAGCGGCAGGCCUAAUACAUGCAAGUCGAACGGUAAGGUCUCUUCGGAGAUACACGAGUGGCGCACGGGUGAGUAACGCGUAUGCAACCUACCUAUAACUGGGGAAUAGCCCUUCGAAAGGAGGAUUAAUACCCCAUAAUGUUUCUGAGAGGCAUCUCUCAGUUCCUAAAACUCCGGUGGUUAUAGAUGGGCAUGCGUGACAUUAGUUUGUUGGUGAGGUAACGGCUCACCAAGACUACGAUGUCUAGGGGGUCUGAGAGGAUGGUCCCCCACACUGGUACUGAGACACGGACCAGACUCCUACGGGAGGCAGCAGUAAGGAAUAUUGGGCAAUGGAGGAAACUCUGACCCAGCCAUGCCGCGUGCAGGAUGACAGCUCUAGUAGUUGUAAACUGCUUUUAUAUGAGAAGAAAUACUCCUACGUGUAGGAAUUUGACGGUAUCAUAUGAAUAAGGACCGGCUAACUCCGUGCCAGCAGCCGCGGUAAUACGGAGGGUCCAAGCGUUAUCCGGAUUUAUUGGGUUUAAAGGGUGUGUAGGCGGAAGUGUAAGUCAGUGGUGAAAGCCCGCAGCUCAACUGCGGAAUUGCCAUUGAUACUGCAUUUCUUGAGUAUAAUUGAGGUGGGCGGAAUGUGUCAUGUAGCGGUGAAAUGCAUAGAUAUGACACAGAACACCGAUUGCGAAGGCAGCUCACUAAAUUAUUACUGACGCUGAGGCACGAAAGCGUGGGGAGCGAACAGGAUUAGAUACCCUGGUAGUCCACGCCGUAAACGAUGAUUACUCG